rnacentral:rRNA from 1 species
UACGUAGGAUGCGAGCGUUAUUCGGAUUUAUUGGGCGUAAAGCGUGCGUAGGCGGCUGUUUAAGUCUGGUGUUAAAGCUAGGGGCUCAACCCCUGUGAUGCACUGGAAACUGGGCAGCUUGAGUGCGGUAGGGGAAGGUGGAAUUCCGAGUGUAGCGGUGAAAUGCGUAGAUAUUCGGAAGAACACCGGUGGCGAAGGCGACCUUCUGGGCCGCAACUGACGCUGAGGCACGAAAGCCUGGGGAGCGAACGGG